CUCUCAUCCAACGUCGAAAGGACUUUCAUCAGGAUUUGCCGCCACACCCCUCUAUGUCAAAAUGAACGUAUUGGCACUCGUCGUCAUCGCUGCUGCUCUGCUGAUGUGUAAUGUUGAAGUCCAGGCCGAGACACGCGCAGCCGAAAAAUUGAAAGACGGGGCGGACUGCUUGAAAAGUACCGAUUGUAGUUCAGAAAAAUGUCGUAGGAAACCUUAUCCGGAGGCGACCGAAACCGACCUUUAUUGCGAGCCGUAGAGUGCUCGUAUUGUCUGUACUCUGGCAAGUCCGAAUAAAAUCAUCCACCAGAUGUUUCAAAUCUAGGUGCUAACAACGAGAUCGAAAUUUAG